UACGGGGGGGGCAAGCGUUGUUCGGAAUUACUGGGCGUAAAGGGCUCGUAGGCGGCCAACUAAGUCAGACGUGAAAUCCCUCGGCUUAACCGGGGAACUGCGUCUGAUACUGGAUGGCUUGAGGUUGGGAGAGGGAUGCGGAAUUCCAGGUGUAGCGGUGAAAUGCGUAGAUAUCAGGAGGAACACCGGUGGCGAAGGCGGUUCUCUGGGCAUGUUCUGACGCUGAGGAGCGAAAGUGUGGGGAGCGAACAGG
rnacentral:rRNA from 1 species